AAGGUCUCCGUUGGUGAACCAGCGGAGGGAUCAUUACUGAGUUUACGCUCUACAACCCUUUGUGAACAUACCUAUAACUGUUGCUUCGGCGGGUAGGGUCUCCGCGACCCUCCCGGCCUCCCGCCUCCGGGCGGGUCGGCGCCCGCCGGAGGAUAACCAAACUCUGAUUUAACGACGUUUCUUCUGAGUGGUACAAGCAAAUAAUCAAAACUUUUAACAACGGAUCUCUUGGUUCUGGCAUCGAUGAAGAACGCAGCGAAAUGCGAUAAGUAAUGUGAAUUGCAGAAUUCAGUGAAUCAUCGAAUCUUUGAACGCACAUUGCGCCCGCCAGCAUUCUGGCGGGCAUGCCUGUUCGAGCGUCAUUUCAACCCUCAAGCUCUGCUUGGUGUUGGGGCCCUACAGCUGAUGUAGGCCCUCAAAGGUAGUGGCGGACCCUCCCGGAGCCUCCUUUGCGUAGUAACUUUACGUCUCGCACUGGGAUCCGGAGGGACUCUUGCCGUAAAACCCCCAAUUUUCCAAAGGUUGACCUCGGAUCAGGUAGGAAUACCCGCUGAACUUAAGCAUAUCAA
rnacentral:rRNA from 1 species